UUGCAUUAUUUAGCUAUUAUUGUUGAUAUUUUACAGAUAAGACACUGGCAAGAGAAAUUAAGGUAAAACCUGCUAAAAGCGUCCAUUACAUUUGACACGUCAGGUUAUCAGAAUAUUUUUACACUGUUUCAAUCAGUUUCACUUUGGUGUUCAGCAACCACACAAACUUGGCCGCAAGUGCCCUCAUACCGAUUGCCUGGAAAUGGAAUAAAGGGAAAACAAACCUGCAAAAGCCCUCAGCUACUUCUGUGGAAGGACUCGGCCUUAGUCCCAGCUGUGCCAACCGGAUUUUUUUUCCCAGAUGAUGAAGUGGGGAGAGGGGAUGGAGACAGUGAUUGAGUCAAGUGACCAAACUCGGAACAGUAACGCAGGGCAGCGUUGCUGGCUGGAGAAAACUCAGCUUCUCACGGGGUAAGGUCUGACAUGGUUGACUUGUUAGCUAAAGGAAAGUGUUGAAUGGAAUUACCUGUACCAAUGGAUAGAAAGAAAAACUUCAGACUGAAUGAGGAGCCUGGAAAGAAGAAGGAUCGGUGAUUUUAGCUCUGAGUUGAAUGUUUGCCUUUAUGUUAAACCAAAUGCCUAAGGAAUACAUAAUUCAAAAGUCCCAAGCGGCUGGCCUAUUUUCCUGAAGAAGAGGAGAGGAUGUAGCAGCAGGUCUGAUUCCAGAUGAGAUAAGAUUUUGUUAUAACAAAAGUAAUGGUUAAUGGGCAGGUUCUGGUUUAAGUGAGUUAUUCAGUAUCACAAAAAAGCUGCUGGCAGACAGGGAAAAAAGACAAUUAUCCACAAUGGUAUUAAAUUUUCUUAAGAGGAAAUCUUACGGUUCUUAUUCUGUAGCUUCCUGGCUUGUUCAUUAUGCAGUCCUUACUCAUAGUGACAAUCCUGUGCACUGAAUGAAAUACAGCAACAAGCACCAUUUGACUGAAAAGACAGCCCUAUAAUAGCUUUUUGCUGAAAUGUGAUGCUAAAAUUAAUUCUGAAAUUUUCCAGUUUGUGAGUAUUCACAAAUACUAAUUUGACCUAGUAUAAAUACUGUUUGACUCCAUAGGUCCAACAUUCCUUUACUUUACUUAAUGCCUUUUCCCCAUCUCCAGGAAAACAAAGACAUGAGGAAAGGAAAUCUAACACUUGACCACGUGUUUGGCCCUAAAUUGGAUGAUCAGCAAUGUGACGACUUCUCAACUCCAACCUCUUCCCUGGAGAGUGUCAACAAAACCAGCAGUGGGGAUAAUGACUCUGUAUCAGCAGCCCUGAAGAAUUCAACGGCACAAUUGCAAGGUUAAGUCCCAAGAAGCCUGUGGACAGAGAGUGCUCAGCUGAUAUGAGGAGAUCAUAUCUGUGCCAUUGAACACUUGGGAGCUGAGAAGAUGGAGUGUGGCUGACGAAGGCAGCGUUCAGCUGUCAAAAAAACUUGUAGUAAAAAUAAUUCCAUGUAUUUUGUUUUUCCCAUGACUGGCUUGUUCUAGCUAGAACCUUUUUUAAAGGCAAAACAGGCCAAAAACUAAACCAACACCUCCACAGCUUGAGACAGACAUUUUCUAGGAAAAUUUGCCACUCCUGCUUCAGCAGUGUUACUCAGCACCAGAAAGAGGCACUUCACACGGGGGCCCUAACUACAGGUGGUGCUCCCAUUCCUGCCUAGGGAUGCUGCAAGUGCACAGUGGCAAGGUUAUUUUAGACUCACUUUUAUCAUUUGAGAGCUGCACCUUGGUUUGUUUGGGGUUGUUCCAGUCUUCGGCCACAGCUAAUGCUUUCUUGUCUCUUCCAGAAUAUUACUGGGAUGUAAGUAGUUCAUCUUGUUAUUUCCCUCUUCCCAAAUGUAAUAUUCCUAACUGUAUAUUCAUUACAAAUAAGUGAAAUACAGGGAAUGGAUCCGAA